rnacentral:lncRNA from 1 species
UUCUAAGAGGUGGAUCAAACAAGAUAUAGCUGCGAUUUAUGUCAAAGAGUGUUCUGCCUGUUUUCCUCUAGGAGUUUUAUCGUAUCUGACCUUAUGUUUAGGUCUUUAAUCCACUUUCAGUUUAUUUUUGUUUAUGGUGUUGGAGAAUGUUCCAGUUUCAUUCUUUUAAAUGUAACUGUCCAGUUUUCCCAGCAUCACUUAUUGAAGAAAUAAUCUUUAUUCCACUGUAUGUUCUUGCCUUCUUUGUCAUAGAUUAGUUGACCAAAGGUGCAUGGGUUUAUUUCUGGGCUUUCUAUCCUGUGCCACAGAUCUAUAUUUCUAUUUUUGUUUCAGUGCCAUACUGUUUUGAUUAUUGUAGCUUCGUAGUAUAGACUGAAGUCACGGAGUCUGAUUCUUGCAAUUCCAUUUUUACCUUUUUAAUACUGCUUUGGCUAUUUGGAACCUUUUGUGUUUCCAUAAAAAUUUUAAAAUAUUUUUUCUAGUUCUGUGAAGAAUGUCAUCAGUAACUUGAUAGGGAUUACACUGACUCUGUAGAUUGCCUUGGGUACUACAGUCAUUUUGACAAUAUUGAUUCUUCCAAUCCAAGAGAUGGUCACUCUUUCCAUCUGUUUGUGUCAUCUUUGAUUUCUUUCAUCAGCAUCUUAUAGUUUUCAGAGAACAGGUCUUUUGUCUCUUUGGAUAGGUUUAUUGCUAGAUGUUUUAUUCUUUUUGAAGCAAAAUUAAGUCUUUCUCACUCUGACUUUGCCAAAGCCUCUUUGGAGAAUAAAGAGCGAUUCUGUGUAACAAGGAACAACACCUUAAAACCAGUCAUUCAAUAAGCCAUUCAGAGUUAAUACUCUAGUGCUUGCCUAUUUCCCUCAUUGCCUCUCUUUCUCUCCCUCUCUCUGCAAAAAGGAGCAUGACAUUUAUGCAAGUUGCAGAAUGACUUGUACAUCUGGGGCCUGAAGGCACACCUGGAAAGGACCCAUUUCUGUAAAUGCAUCUCUGCUUUUUUUAUGAAGAAGCCCAGUCCUGAAGCUCCCAAGAAUGGCUCCCAGAGGACCAGGCCCUGGGGCUGGUUCUGGGCUCAUCUCGGUGGACAUAACAUGUACAUUUAUCAGUUUAGGAGCCUUACAGAAAUCUCUAGUGAAAAUCAAGGGCACUGUAACUUCUGCACUUCUGAGGAAUCAGGUCUAUCUUUUUAUGUGACCUAGUCCCUCACUUUCAGACCAGACAAAGACCAGACCCCUUAAUAUGCUCACCUAAACAAAAGUAACCAUCCCAACAUGAGAUUCAUUACCAUGUUUUCAAGAUUCUAAGAUGGCCUAUCUGUAAGACAUAUCAUUGAUUUGAUAGCACUUUUCUGGAAAAGAAACAACACAAAAAUAAAUGGACGCAUCAAUUGUCAGGGGUAACAUGGUUUUAGAACUGUUGAAAUGUAGAAAAAUGUGCAAUUUAGAAUCAGAAAAAUCUAGUCAUAUUAACUAUAGGGCACCUGUUGCAACAGAAAUGCUACAACUGCCAAUAGAUUAAAAAGUGAGCAGGAGCUUUAGGAGUCCCAGUCCCCCUACCCCCAACCUUUUCUAUCUUUAGUCUGUGGUCCUCAGGAACCUUGCACUUGGCCUCCAGAGAGCUAGUGCUUAACCAGUGAAGUCACAUACACAUCUGUAGUAUCUGUCCCUUGUGACUCCAACCUCUCUCUAGCAACAGAUUUUGUAUUUUCAUAGAAAAUCAGACUGCCACUGUAAGUGAGCCCUUCCCCUUUAUUUCACCUUAUAUUUAUGUGGUGAGUUAUUAAGACACACUGAAUAUCAGACCACAGGAAAUUCUAAACUGAUGGCUGCUUUGCAAACCUCAUUGACAUUUUGCUGAUAAAAACUAGGAGGACAAAGGGGUUUGAUAUUUACUACAUGAAAAUCUAGAUGGGAAUUAUGUGCUUCUUAUUAAUCUCUUUGGCUCCCAAACCACAUUUAUUUCUUUGGUUACAAAGACCACCUUACCAGAAUAAAUAACAAAGUGGAUAUAGUGGCUUGUUAAUUCCAAAGAACAAAUGUCAAGAGUGUGCUCAUGAUGGAAGGUGUUUUAAAGUAACCUUGUGGGCCAUUAACCUACCCACUUUGGGUGUCCAUAGUCAAAGAGAGUGGAAAGGAGAAGAGUUGAUGGGCCCACAAAGUAUACAAAUGAGAGAACUAAAUAACAGACAACUUUUGGUGUGCUGGAAAAAUAUUCUUUGUCUUUCUCUUCUCUGUCUUGUUGCAUCUACAGAGGUAGAUCCAGUCUCUAUGAUAGUUGUCCAUAAUCCCAACGUCCAUGAGCAUUACUUGAUUAGAGAGAGCUAAUCACCUGACUAAACUGGGCCAAUCAUAUUCCCUCUAACAGAAUUCAGAAUCCAACCAAGCAGUGACCUUUCAGUCUCUAUCUGUGGUUGGCUCAGAGAACAAGUUAUGGAGUCAGACCCCUGGGGUCAACUCCACCACUUCCUAGCUGCCUUUAGGCAAGUUACUUAACCACUGGACCCCUUGGUUGCCUCCCUUGAAAACUAAGGGCAGCAAUAGAGCCCAGGUUUUCUAAGAUGCUUAGCACAUUGUCUUUGGCAUGUAAAAAGUGCUCUGUAAAUACUAACAUUAUUGUUGUGCUAGUUUUCUGUGACUGUUAUAACCACUUAUCAUAAACUUGGGAGCUUAAAACAACACAAUUUUACUAUCUUCUCAUUCUGUAACUUAAGGAUCCAACACAGGUCCCACCAUUCAAUUUUUUUUUGCUUUUUAGGACCACCCCCAUGGCAUAUGGAGGUUCCCAGGCUAAGAGUUGAAUCAGAGCUGUAGCCACUGGCCUACACCACAGCUCACAGCAAUGCUGGAUCCAUAAGCCACUGAGCAAGGCCGGGACUGAACCUGCGUCCUCAUGGAUGCUAGUCAGAUUCAUUUCUGCUGAGCCUUGAUGAGAACUCCCUCAUUAGAUUCUGGAGAUGAAGACUUAGACAUCUUUGGGUGGACAUUAUUCUGCCUACUGCAAUUGUCAUGAAAAAAAUAAUGGGAGCUCCUGGGAAGCAAUAGUACAGGGUAAAUAUGGUGAAAAAUUAGACAGCAGUUCUGUAGGACAGACAGGCCAGUCAUGCAAAGUUCUAGGGCUGUCCUAAUUAAUUUCCCAGUCUAGUGGUCCUCAAGGCCCAUCUGUAUUGCUUCAUAUGGCUUCCCUGAGACGUCUCAUGAUCACUACAACAAAGUAUCCCCUCCUCCCCCUAUUUUUUCUCAAGAAAGCUUAAGUGAGUUGCUAAUAAUGUUGACUCUUGAACAACUUCUUUCCAACUGUAAAUACUAGAGUACUACAACACCCCCGAGUGGUUGAAUCCACAGAUGCAGAACUGCAGAUAUAGAAGGCCGUGGAUAGGAGUAUUUAUCUUUGGGCUACUCAUCUCCAAAGAUAAAUUAUACACAGGUUUUCAUGAGAUAGAGGGUCAGUGCCCCUAACUCUCACAAUGUUCAAGCACCAACUGUAUUUACAACUGGAAACCUGACAAGGUGUAAAUGUUCUCAACAAUAGUGUUCUAGACCACAGCUACUCGGCAAGGACUUGUGUCACAGAGACCACUGAUAUAAGGAUAUACCUGACUUUUGCCUUUGUACCAGGACAACAGUGGGAUGAUCUGGAUGAUUAAUCUCAUCCAAAUGAUACUUUGUUUAAUUGUUAAUCCAUCAUGUUUUUCUAAAAAACUUUCCUAUGGAUUGGUAUUGAUGCUUGUGUUUCCUUGGAUGGAACAGCUACUGCAGUAAAAGCCUCCCAAGAUGUGUACUGAUGCUCUUCUCCUAUUGAUCUAAUUAAAGAUCAUGAUGCCUAAUAUCAUUAGCUCAGCUGGCCUUUCUGUCUGGAUAGUUCUUACACUUUUAGACAUGUAACUACCAGAGUUAAAUUACUCUGGAUAAUGAGUUGCACUUCUGAAGGAAAUAGCUUUAAGGGUACAAAUAUGAGACUCAACUAAGACUUUAAUAAUACGAUUUCUUCCUUUAUUUUUAGCAAUUGAUGCUUAUUUUCCUACUAGACUUUCUCCACCUAAAGGCCAGACACCCAGUGGCAUUUUGUAGACUUCUCUACUCAACCAACUGCCCAAAGCCUGGGUUAUGGGAGCUGGUGACUUAAUACCUUAGUUCAGAUGAUGAUCAGCAUUUUUUUUUUUAUGGUACAAAAGAGAGAAAGGGGAAAUGGGAAAAUGUAAAUGUCUUAAGAAAGCAAAAAUAUGUAAGACCUAGAUCACAUGUUAAGGGAUUGCCUUUGGGAAGAGAAAAAUGAGAUCAGCAGAGCUAUUGGGAGGUUUCCAUAUUUGGUGAUAGCAAGAUUAGGCAGUUCUCAUUGGAAGUUUUCAAGUUCCUCAACUGACUAUGAGGUAAGGUCAUAGGUGAAAGGUGAGUGGGUUAACAACAACAACAGCAACACUAUUAACAAUAGCCAACAAUCAUUGAGUCCUU